GCCGAAAUAGCUCAGUAGAGGAAAAAAAAAAAAAAAAAAAAAAAAAAGUUGGGAGAGCGUUAGACUGAAGAUCUAAAGGUCCCUGGUUCGAUCCCGGGUUUCGGCA